UUCCAUGAUGAAGCCUGAUAGGGACAUCGUAUACCUUUGGUAUUUGACGAGAACCCAGGACAUGUAUUUUAGUAGAUGCUUUGUACUCUGAGA
rnacentral:snoRNA from 1 species